GAUGAACGCUAGCUACAGGCUUAACACAUGCAAGUCGAGGGGCAUCAUGUCGGUUGCUUGCAACCGAUGAUGGCGACCGGCGCACGGGUGAGUAACGCGUAUCCAACCUUCCGCACACUAAGGGAUAACCCGUUGAAAGACGGCCUAAUACCUUAUGUCCUCCACGGCAGACAUCUAAUGUGGAGUAAAGAUUCAUCGGUGUGUGAUGGGGAUGCGUCUGAUUAGGCAGUUGGCGGGGUAACGGCCCACCAAACCGACGAUCAGUAGGGGUUCUGAGAGGAAGGUCCCCCACAUUGGAACUGAGACACGGUCCAAACUCCUACGGGAGGCAGCAGUGAGGAAUAUUGGUCAAUGGGCGAGAGCCUGAACCAGCCAAGUAGCGUGCAGGACGACGGCCCUAUGGGUUGUAAACUGCUUUUAUGCGGGGAUAAAACGCGGGACGUGUCCCGCCUUGCAGGUACCGCAUGAAUA
rnacentral:rRNA from 1 species